UGCAGUAAGCUGAGAUUGCACCACUGCACUCCAGCCUGGGAGACUGAGUGAGACUCUGUCACACACACAAAAAAGAAAUUCUCAGACAGCCAAGGAUGUUUGGGAUGGGAUUUCGGUAUGAAAAAACAGAUCAAAACAAACAAUUAAAAAAUGCUCCUGGAAAAAAGGGAAACAGCAAUGCUGUUAACACGGUUAAAACAAACAAGCAGUCCUUCACGAGAAGCCCCUGGUUGGUUGCUAUCCAAGUGGUGCUUCCUCAUCACGGCCACUGCCAUGCUCAGAGGUCUGUUUCUUGGGGACGUGGCUCCCAACUUUGAGGCCAAUACUACCAUCGGCUGCAUCCAUUUCCAGGAACUUUCUGGGAGACUCAUGGGACAUUCUCUUUCCCACCCUCAGGACUUUACCCCAGUGUGCACCACAGAGCUUGGCAGAGCUGCAAAGCUGGCACCGGAAUUUGCCAAGAGGAAUGUCGAGCUGACUCCCCUUUCAAUAGACAGUGUUGAGGAAGGCCUUGCCUGGAGCAAGGUCACCAUUGCUUCCAAUGGUGAAGAGCCCAGAGAAGUCACCUUUUCCUAUCAUCGAUGAUAAGAAUCGGGACCUUGCCAUCCUGUAUCCAGCAGAGAAGGAUGAAAAGGGCGUGCCUGUGACAGCUCCUGUGGUGGUGUUUGUUUUCGGUCCUGAUAAGUCGCUGAAACUCUCUAUCCUCUACCCAGCUACCACUGGCAGCAACUUUGAUGAGAUUCUCAGGGUAUUCAUCUCUCUCCAGUUGACAGCAGAAAAGAGGGUUGCCACCCCAGUUGACCGGAAGGAUGGGGAUAGUGUGAUGGUCCUUCCAACCAUCCCUGAAGAAGAAGCCAAAAGACUUCUCACAAAAGGAGUCUUCACCAAAGAGCUCCCAUCUGGCAAGAAAUGCCUCCGCUACACACCCCAGCCUUAAGUCUCUUGGAGAAGCUGGUGCUGAGAGCCAGAGAUGUCAGCUGCCAAUCAUAUUUUCCUGCAGCAGUUCCAUAAAAACAUCCUGGUGUCAUCACAGCCAAGGUUUUUAGGUUGCUAUACUACUUGCUUAUUAAAUGAAAAUGUCACUAAAAGUUUCUUGGGAUUCUUUACUCUCUGCUUUCACCCGCACUCAAUUCUGUUCAUACAUCAGCACUCUCUACUGGUUCUCUUUGAAAUAUGUUCUGUAUUUAAAACUCAACUAUUGUUGGAUCUCUGCAGGGCUUGUGAUCAGUGAGGUCAUAUCGGUUGAUGGCUGAGAAAGCUUGUUUCACUCCAUCAGAGAAUGACUAUCAAUUUUUAAAAAUUGUCCUAUCACAUCCUCUUUUCUGUCACCCAUUUUGAAGAGCUGCAGAACUCGAGGUUCAACUUCCUCUGUAAAUAUCCAAGUAUAAAACCCAGGAACUUAGAGUAGCCCAGAUGCUCUUUAAUAUUCUGUGUUUUGAUCACAGCUGAGAAAAAAGCUUUUUAAUUCUGUACAUUUCUAGUAGAUAACUGAAAUGAAGAGCAGGGGAAGAGAUCUGUACAUAUUUUGCUAUAAAAAAAUUGUGAAAAGUUUCUAUCAAAAUGGAGAGACUACAGAAAAGGCUUUCCUUGGCUUGCAAGGAGGUGUAGCAGGUGUGAGCAAUACUAGUGCCGUGUGCCUUUCACACAGGGUUUGCAUGUAUCAGUCUGCUUUCUGAUGAUGUGCACCAUGUGAAGAGAAGAGAGAAUGAUUGAAAAUGUUUUAUUAGAGAACUCUUCUUGCAGUGGGUUGCUAUUUUCUGGAUUUUACUUUUUAGGAAAAAAUAAAAUCCUUUGUUAAAACU